AUACGUAGGGAGCGAGCGUUGUCCGGAAUUACUGGGUGUAAAGGGAGCGUAGGCGAAAGUGCAAGUCAGAUGUGAAAUACAUGGGCUCAACCCAUGGGCUGCAUUUGAAACUGCAUUUCUUGAGUGAAGUAGAGGUAAGCGGAAUUCCUGGUGUAGCGGUGAAAUGCGUAGAUAUCAGGAGGAACACCGGUGGCGAAGGCGGCUUACUGGGCUUUUACUGACGCUGAGGCUCGAAAGCGUGGGGAGCAAACAGGAUUAGAUACCCUGGUAGUCCACGCUGUAAACGAUGAUUACUAGGUGUGGGGGGACUGACCCCUUCCGUGCCGCAGUUAACACAAUAAGUAAUCCACCUGGGGAGUACGGCCGCAAGGUUGAAACUCAAAUGAAUUGACGGGG
rnacentral:rRNA from 1 species